GCCGCCUUGGCGUAGUGGUAGCGCGUCUCACUUGUAUGUUUGUUAACAUUCUUAUGAGAAGGUCAUUCGUUCAAUCCGGGUAGGCGGCA